UUAAAGCAGAAGCACCCGCUUCUCGCCUGAGUGACUGUAUCGCUGGGCAGAAUAGGAUUCCUACAUUUUGUGUAUGGAGUACGUGCGGGUUCGUGAAGAACUCGUUUUUUUUAUUG
rnacentral:sRNA from 1 species